CAGAUAUUGUUGAUGGAGUGGGUAGUUCCAGAUCUGUUAAUGGUUUCAAAAGCUCGUAUAGUUCUGUUGACUGGCUGGGGAGAGAAAUGCUUGAAAUGAGACUCAGAGACAAGGUGGACAAUGAUGAAGACAGAGU